AAUUUAUUUAAAAUUAUUAUUGACAUUAGAUAAUAUAAAAUGAUAUACUUGUUAAGUACUGAUUUUUGAGACGUAAAUAAUAUUAGCGCGGGAUGGAGCAGUUCGG
rnacentral:ncRNA from 1 species